GGGGAGAGAGACACAGACAGAGGAGGAGGGGGGAGAGAGACACAGACAGAGGAGGUGGGGGAGAGAGACACAGACAGAGGAGGUGGGGGAGAGAGACACAGACAGAGGAGGUGGGGGAGAGAGACACAGACAGAGGAGGUGGGGGAGAGAGACACAGACAGAGGAGGUGGGGGAGAGGGAGAGACACAGAGAGAGAGAGAUGGUAAAUAAACUAAAUACUAUCAGCCACACACAUAAUUAUUAUAAUUAGGAGCAUCUGACAUAUUGCCAAUUCACCAGCAUCUAUCUCCUCCAAAACCCAGACAGGAGACUGAAACAGGUGAGUGACUGGAAAAGAGAGAGGAGGAGGAGGAGGAGACUGCAACAGGUGAGAGAGUGGAGAAGAGAGGAGGAGACUGGAACAGGUGAGAGAGUGGAGAAGAGAGGAGGAGACUGCAACAGGUGAGAGAGUGGAGAAGAGAGGAGGAGACUGCAACAGGUGAGAGAGUGGAGAAGAGAGGAGGAGACUGGAACAGGUGAGAGAGUGGAGAAGAGAGGAGGAGACUGGAACAGGUGAGAGAGUGGAGAAGAGAGGAGGAGACUGGAACAGGUGAGAGAGUGGAGAAGAGAGGAGGAGACUGGAACAGGUGAGAGAGUGGAGAAGAGAGGAGGAGACUGGAACAGGUGAGAGAGUGGAGAAGAGAGGAGGAGACUGGAACAGGUGAGAGAGUGGAGAAGAGAGGAGGAGACUGGAACAGGUGAGAGAGUGGAGAAGAGAGGAGGAGACUGGAACAGGUGAGAGAGUGGAGAAGAGAGGAGGAGACUGGAACAGGUGAGAGUGGAGAAGAGAGGAGGAGAC